rnacentral:rRNA from 1 species
GCUUGUCUCAAAGAUUAAGCCAUGCAUGUCUUAGUGUAAAUAACUCUUAUGAAACUGCGAAUGGCUCAUUAAAUCAGUUAUCGUUUAUUUGAUGGUCCCUUACUACAUGGAUAACCGUAGUAAUUCUAGAGCUAAUACAUGCACAAAGGCCCGACUCACGGAGGGCUGUAUUUAUUAGAUUGAAACCAAUGCGGGUUCGCCCGGUAUUUGGUGAUUCAUAAUAACUUUCGGAUCGACUUCGGUCGAUGCAUCAUUCAAGUUUCUGCCCUAUCAGCUUUGGAUGGUAGGGUAUUGGCCUACCAUGGCUUUAACGGGUAACGGAGAAUUAGGGUUCGAUUCCGGAGAGGGAGCCUGAGAAAUGGCUACCACAUCCAAGGAAGGCAGCAGG